GAUGAAGAACGUAGCGAAAUGCGAUACGUAAUGAGAAUUGCAGAAUUCAGUGAAUCAUCGAGUCUUUGAACGCACAUUGCGCCCCCUGGUAUUCCGGGGGGCAUGCCUGUCCGAGCGUCAUUGCUGCCCUCAAGCACGGCUUGUGUGUUGGGCCUCCGUCCUCCUCCCGGGGGACGGGCCCGAAAGGCAGCGGCGGCACCGCGUCCGGUCCUCGAGCGUAUGGGGCUUCGUCACCCGCUCUUGUAGGCCCGGCCGGCGCUUGCCGACACAUCAAUCUUUUUUCCAGGUUGACCUCGGAUCAGGUAGGGAUACCCGCUGAACUUAAGCAUAUCAAUAAGCGGAGGA
rnacentral:misc_RNA from 1 species